rnacentral:rRNA from 1 species
AUGCUCACCCCACGAGCAGCUCCAUGGAUCUUGGCCCUCUUCGUGGCCAGGGCGACGGACUGCGAUGGCGAGCACGAGUCCAUGGAGGGGAUCAAGCAGCACUUCACGGCGGUGCAUGUGUGGCUCGCAGGUCGACUGUGGGCGGUGCGCGUUGGAAGAACUCACGUGUGGUUGCGGCAGUGCACAGCCAGGCGAAUCUCGCGGCGCGACGGUGGCCGGUGCGUGCGUGCGCGUAGUUGCCGUGAGUGGGUACCUGCGGUGUGGCCGCCGCACGACAUACGACAGCGCUCGGCCCCUUCGCUGCUCUCGCCACCUCUGUAG